GACGUAGGGGGCGAGCGUUGUCCGGAUUUAUUGGGCGUAAAGAGCGCGCAGGCGGCUUGGUAAGUCGGAUGUGAAAUCCCGAGGCUCAACCUCGGGUCUGCAUCCGAUACUGCCCGGCUAGAGGUAGGUAGGGGAGAUCGGAAUUCCUGGUGUAGCGGUGAAAUGCGCAGAUAUCAGGAGGAACACCGGUGGCGAAGGCGGAUCUCUGGGCCUUACCUGACGCUCAGGCGCGAAAGCUAGGGGAGCGAACUGG
rnacentral:rRNA from 1 species